GGUCACCGCUCUUGGAAUCCGAUUAAGCCAUGUGAGUCGAGAGGGUUCGGCCCUCGGCAGACUGCUCAGUAACACGUGGAUAACCUACCCUAAGGAGGGGCAUAAUCUCGGAAAACUGAGGAUAAUACCCCAUAGGCCUUAAUGACUGGAAUGUCUCUAGGCUGAAAGCUACGGCGCCUUAGGAUGGGUCUGCGGCCUAUCAGGUUGUAGUUAGUGUAACGGACUAACUAGCCGACGACGGGUACGGGCCAUGGGAGUGGUAGCCCGGAGAUGGACUCUGAGACACGAGUCCAGGCCCUACGGGGCGCAGCAGGCGCGAAAACUUUGCAAUGCGCGAAAGUGCGACAAGGGGAUUCCAAGUGCAUGCACUCAGUGUAUGCUUUUCGUGAGUUUAAAACGCUCACGGAAUAAGGGCUGGGUAAGACUGGUGCCAGCCGCCGCGGUAAUACCAGCGGCCCUAGUGGUGAUCGUUAUUAUUGGGCCUAAAGCGUCCGUAGCCGGUUCGGUAAAUCUCUGGGUAAAUCGUUGGGCUUAACUCAACGAAUUCUGGGGAGACUGCCGGACUUGGGACCGGGAGAGGUCGGAGGUACUCCAGGGGUAGGGGUGAAAUCCUGUAAUCCUUGGGGGACCACCGGUGGCGAAAGCGUCCGACCAGAACGGGUCCGACGGUAAGGGACGAAGCCCUGGGGCGCGAACCGGAUUAGAUACCCGGGUAGUCCAGGGUGUAAACGCUGUGCGCUUGGUGUUGGGGGUCCCAUGAGGGCAUCCAGUGCCGGAGAGAAGUUGUUAAGCGCACCGCCUGGGGAGUACGGUCGCAAGACUGAAACUUAAAGGAAUUGGCGGGGGAGCACAGCAACGGGAGGAGCGUGCGGUUU
rnacentral:rRNA from 1 species